rnacentral:lncRNA from 1 species
GUAACCUCGCGGCGGGCGUGCAGACCGGACGCCCUCCCGCUUCUUCUACCGACUGCUAGGCACACCAGUGGGUUCAUUUUGAAAGAGGCCCUUGCACCGGGCUUUGCAAGGAAGCCGGCAAGGUUAGAUUGAAGGUUAGAAGCCAAUUAGACUAGAAUCCUGCGAUCUGGUGAGACUGCCGCCUUAAAAUGCACCAAACAGUUUUUGAACCUGGAGGGCUAACAGGCGGGAAAAACAUCUGCAAGACUGCCACCGUGUAUUUUUCUCAAGUAACAGGCUAUCCACAGUUUUGGAAUUCCUUAGUGAAACUGUCACACAGGCACAAACACAUGUCAGCUUUCCUUCUAGUUUGUAAAUAAUAUUUGUAAUUUACAGGCCACUGUAUUCCCAACUUUGCACCAUGUGAUUUAGAGAAAGCAAAGCUCCCUCUUUAAAAAUAAUAUGUUACUUCUGAAAUACCGGGAUAUUCCACGGCAAGUAAGCCAUAUUGUCGCCAGAGCAAAUAAACCGCAGCCCCAUAUCAUAAUUCACUGGGUGCUAUAAGAUGUAACUUGGCUUUGCUUUGAAUGGAAAGAAUCCUGAACGUCUGUGAUGUGAUGAAGUUUUGGAGACUGGGGGCAGGAUUUCCUUUGAAUGUAAGGAAUUCGGAUAACUUGUUCAAGGAUGAUUCUAGUGAAAAACGUUUGUCCCAUGUUUGUUGGGACAAAAAUGCUGGAUAUGGUACAACAUUCUUCCUGCAGGUUCGGUUUUGUUGAAGAGAGUGAGGCCAGCUCGAGGUGAAGGAAAAACAUCAGAAAGGUGCUAAAGUGCAGAAAUAUCUUCCAGAGGCACUAAUAGCCGACUUUAGUUCUUGACCUUUAGCUAGAUCCACAAAGCACUGAGUUAAAAUUGUACACUGAUCCCUUCCAGAACAAAUUAAUUAAUUAAAUGGUGCCUCUUCCCAGCGUUAAUCGUUUAAAAGGACUCAAGUACCCACACAGUUUAAGCAAACUAAAAGAACACUGACACUUUCUCAGAGAACAGGGAUGGGAACUUUCUAUCUGCCCAUUAGUAUCUACCCCAAGCUACGAAGACUUCCAUUCCUCUUAUUAAGCAUUCAGCAACUACAUUUAGUGCCUACUAUGCCAGUGAUGCAAGAAUGGAUAAGACAGUCCCUACACUCAAGGAUAACGCCUCUAGUAGGUGAGAGACAAACCGAUUAAUUCUGCAUAAGGGAUAAGUGCUGUAUGUGGGAAGCAAUCCAAUGAGGGCUCUGAGGAUGGCAAAGGAAGGGUUCCUGGAGGAUUUACAUUUAACUGGUGCCUUGAAAGGUGUGUAGAAGUUGGCAAGAUCAAAAGGGAGUAGAGUCCAGGUGGAGAAGAGAAAAGAGCAGGGCAGGCUGGAUGGCAUGGCUCACACCUGUAAUCCCAGCACUUUGGGAGGCCAUGGAGGGAGGAUUGAGGCCAGGAGUUUGAGACCAGCCUGGGUGACAUUAAAAGACCCUGUCUCAAAGAAAACGAAAGGAGCAGGGUAUAUACAAGGGGUCUGCCAGCCUUCUCAGCCUUUCUGUGAGAAGCGAGGGUAGGGUAGUACAGGAGAGUGGCAGGAGAUGACACUAAAAGUAGGUCUGUGUUGAUCUAACGAGUCUCAACUUUACUGCCAAAACUAAUGAACUAGGAAAGUUUAGGCAGCAAGGGCCAGAGAUGGAGUCUGGACUUGUAUUGCAGAAAGUUCCUGUGACGGCAGCUUGGAGGGUGAAUGAGAGUGUGGGAUGGAGGGGUGAAUGGGUGUGGACAGACUGGAAAAAUGACUCAUGCAGGGAAUGAGGAAGGGAGGAGCCUUGGGAGACUCUCAAAUCCCUGGCUUAGCCUACUGAAUUGCUUGCUACUUGCCUUUUUAUGUCUUCAUUUUGCCUCCCAUUGUCUGUGAUAUUAAAGGCCUAACUUCUUAGUAGAGCAAACUUUGCAUCUGCUAGCAGGUUGGUGCCCUAGCUAGCUUCCAUGCCCCUCUGCUUAGAAUGCCUGCGAACCACUAAGGACUAAUCCUAGUGGUAGAAAUUUAUUUUCAAUUGUUCUCAAACCCUUGUAGAAUUCCAAGUUAGAACUGUAGUGUUCUUUUUUCAUGUGGGUUAGAAAAUUUGCUGUUUGGAGCAACAUGGUGAAACACAGGACUUUUGAACCUGCUUAUGGUGCAAAAGGGGAAAUUAUAUUUCUACUUCAACACUGGAGGAGGGGGGACUUCUGGGAGCAAAAGAGAAAUGGAAACUGAGAUGAGACAUGUUUUUUACUCCAUGACAGAAUACAAAGAAAUACAAGGAUGAUCCUUUAAUGUUAGAAACAGUAGAAUAACCAUCCUGGUAAAUAAAAAAGGAGAAAAAAUGUUAUUUUACAUUAGAUACAGAAAAACAGAAUGGCUAAGAAAACUCACAAAGCAAUGGUCAAUCUAUAACUCGAGUCCAAAUAAAUUGUGAUAUAACACUAAAUUACCACUGAUUUGGCCUAAUUGACUAUCACUGGAUAACAUUAUAACAUGAAUGAUAAUAUUUAAAAUUUUAAAGCACUGUAACAAACACCAGAUCAUGUUAAAACUAUUCAAUCAUGUUGUCAGCUUUCAACUGCCAGUAGCAUCCUAACCACAUUUCAAACUAUGGAAAUUACUAAAAAAUCAUUAUUGUAAUAAAAAGUUAAUAGUUCCUCAUUUAGAAUACCAUUGAUAUUCCCUCAGUGCCAGGAGAACAUUAUGGUUUCUCCUAUUUCUGUGAAGUGUAUAGUCUACAGGUUCAUAAGUGAGUAUAUCCAUGAGUAUAAAAAGAAGGUCAUUUAUGGGUGGAGAGGGAAAUUAUAGAAAACAAUUUCAGAUGAAAUAAACUACAUUUUCAGAUAAAGGAAAGAGUGUUCACUGCAGGUUCCUGAAAUAUUUCAGUCCAUUCAAGUUUUAAUUAUACCAAUGAAUCUCAAUAAAAAUACAGUUAAGGAAUAUGGUUUUUAUAGAUAAUGUCAGCUCCUUGUUUACCAAUAAUAAAGAUAAAGAUAAUGGCAGCAUUUAUCUUUUUCAGUCCAAUGGGGAUAUUUAAGGUACCUAUGUAAGUGUGUGAGUGCCUGUGUGAAUUGUGACUUACUUCUUCUGCAUACCACAUUCAUAGCUCAAUAAGCUCUCACUGCCUCUGCAAUAUAACUUGUCUUUCCUGACACACACACACACACACACACACACACACACACACUCUCACACAAACAAAUCACCUAAAUAAAAAUAUCUCAAGGAGGUAUACUCUUUUAAAAUGCUAUUUUUAUUAUACCAGGAUAAAAAUAAUUGAUUGAAAGAUGGUGUCAAAACCAGAACCUAGUCUCAUGUCCUGUGCUUCCUAAUCAAUAUUUAAAUAUAGAUGGUCAAGAGAAGAUGACUCUAAAAGGCAAUCAAAAGUUGCAAACAUUCUUGUAUGGAGAAUCAAGUUUAAGUAGAUGCAUUAAAUUUAUCACAUUAAACUUCACAACAGGGUUGAGGAGAGAGGUGAGACCUUCUUUUGUAGAAUUCAAACUUGUUCAGAUAUUUGAAUACAUAUACUUGAGAGAAAGAAUUACAUGAAUUUAGUUUAUCUUCAAGGACCUUUAUAUAUUUCAUACACAACACAAUUUCUUUGUGCUCAUUAUUUAAAAAUAAAAAUAUGUAUUCUAAUAGAUACUAUGUAUAAUAACUAGAUAACUCUUGACUGCUGUGUAAAGGCUGAUAGUCUAAUCUCAGAAGAGACUGCAUGAAGUCCACCACUGCUGAGAAUGACAGCAAACCAAAAGUGGGCUCUGUCUAGGAGGCAACAGACAGCAAAUGGCUGGGGACCCAGCAGCGGAAUGUGAUUUGGUUGAAGACCCUCGGCAAUGGGGUACAACAAACCUUAGAACCUUACAUCUCAGAGUUGAAGAGAAGCCAUAAGACUCAUGAUCCUCGAGAUAACAUAACUUGAGGGAAGGGAGAUGUGGUAUGCCUGUUUGUGUGUGACUUAUUUAUUAUUUGGAGUCAACACAAUGUAGAAAAUUCGAAAUUAGUGAAGGUAGAAUAUUUUGAUAUCAGCAGUGUUUCCAGUUCCCAGAGAUAGGGAACUGUUUGUAUUACAGUUUAUUUCCUUCUAGGCUUUUCCAAUGCAUUUUUAAAAGCAUAGUUAAUAUUGUACUAUAUAUGCAAUUUCUUUUCCAAAUUUAAUCUUUUAAGACAAUCUUAUAAAACAAAGGCCACCUCCCCCAUGUCAUUUAUAUAUAAUCUUCAUUUUUCAUGAGGUAAUGGAAGCUGGAGAGUUGGCCCUUGACCAAAGCCUUGCAGCUAACAAGAGGACAAGCCUCCUGCCCCACAGUGUUUCACAGCCAGUACCCCAAGCUCCUGAAUUCAUCUGUCUAAUGUGUAAUAUAUUUAUAAACACUCUACCUGGGAUGUAUGCGUACCUUCUACUAUGGACUGUUGUUAAAGACAAGUAAAUAUGCAAUCGUGGUCUUUCAAUAAACUAAACGGAUAUAAAAAUAAAUAUAGAAUACAGCCAGAAGAUCAAAAUUGACAUAUUAUCUAUUUAUGCUUAUAAUAUGUAAUUACAUGUAAUAUUGUAAAACACUUUCUACCAUUUCAUAAAAUUCUGUGUUGUUAUUUAGCCCAGAAUUCCCUUGCAAUCUUUUAAAAAUAGUAUCUAAUAGGGCUUUUAAUAUAAAUGUCGUAGUGAAACUGUUUUAUGUACUGUAACCCAAACAUUUCUACGUAGUAACACUGUUCCAUAUAGAAAACAAAUAUGAAAAAAUAUGGCCAUUGUCUUAUUUAUUUCUAAAGGUAAACCAAUCUUUGACAAUGCCAAUAGCAGUGUCAAUGUUCCUAAAUGUUGGCUGUAUCUAUCUACUUACUCAUUGUAUUCUUGAGGUUCCUUUCCUUUGGUUUCUAUGAUAUUCCACAUCCCUCUCUUUUCAUUCCAUUGUGUGAGUUCUCUCUGUGGAUCUUUUGUUAGCUCCUCUUAUUCCUUCUUGCCUAUCUGAGUUUCCUGAAAUUACCUUCAAAUCAUGUCUCGAAAGAUGUUCUAAAGAGACCUUUGAAUAAGAACAACAUUUGUCCCAUUAAUAAAUGGUGGGAGUUUCAUAUAUCUGUUUCUUUUUCUCUUCUUUCCUCUUUGCCUUGUCCAAAAGAGUGGGAACUGAGCAGUACAGUCAUAAAUUAAUUUUAAUAUAUUAACUUAGGCAUCAGUACACUGGCUAUUGUUCCUUAAUACAUUUAACACAUAGUCAUUGACUGCUGAUUAUGUGCCAAGGGCUGUGCUUGGCACUGGGGAUAAAGAAGUUAUUAAGUCUUUUGCAAGGUGUUCAUAGUCUAGCGGUUGGGGACAGACGUGAGGGAAAAAUCACAGUUGGAAAAGAGCGUAGCAAAUGAAACCAUUCAGUUAAAUUCAACAAACCCUGCGUGCUUACCAUGUGCCAAGCAGAUGGCAAGGAGGAUAGGACUGGGCAAGGCCUUGCUCCUCACGGACUCCCAAGCAGCUGGCAAAUGGUAAAACUACCUGAUACUUGUUAAGAGCUUCAUGGCAGAAAGAAAGUCAGAAAAAAAGUCAUGAAAGGCUAUUGGACAGACAAGAGGCUUGAUCAGAAAAACACUUUUAACAAAUAUUGUCCUAGCAACAUGAGGAGAAAGUUUGUUGUUCAGAUUUUUCAUGCUGUCAUUAUGGAAAGCUUACUACAUGUCAGGUUUCUUUCCUAGAGGCUGAGGCUUCCUUGGCUUGCCUCAGUGAAUCCCAAACUGGCCUUGCAACUCUCUCUCUUUGCCUCCCCUAGGCUUUCGGUAACAAAUCCUCAACUAGGUGAUAGGAGAUUAUCUGAUUAAAGUCAUUCACACUAAGGCGAGAAUGAGGCUUAAUCCCUCAAGAGCGUUUGCUUUAACAAAGGAUAGCUUGUUAACCCUAAUGAACUGCUCAUUGGAAGAACUCUGCAGAAGGAUCCCUCCUCCUCACCUUCCCAGACUUGCCAACCCCAUGUCCUUCCUUUUUAUUUGUCUUUCAUGAAGCAAAGGAGUAAUGAAAGUGUUAAGGACUCUAAGGUCACACAUUAUCUCCUUGAACUUAAAACAAGAGGUAUGUGAGGUAAUUAUGACCCCAUGCUCAUAAUGAGGAGACUGAAACUAGGGCGGUGGUUCUUAACCCUGACUACAUUUUGGAUAGGCCGGCUGCAACUCAGACAAAUUAAAUCAAAAUUUCUGGGAGGGGCAUCCAAGCGUCUGUAUCUUUUUUAAGCCCCUUAGAUGAUUUCAAAGCGCAGCCAAGGUUGCCAGCUUCUUGCCUAAACUCUGCAAGAAGCUAGAGUUUAGGAAAUGGAAAUUAACCAGAAUAGGUAGCAAUCCAUUGACCUGUUCCAUUUUUUCCUUUGGCAAGUAAAGUUUAUUUGGCUCAAUAGAAACAGAAUUAUCUGCAGGAAACUCGAUCUCAUAUAGAAUUAGAUUUGGGUAGGCUGGUGCCCAUAUGCAUCUAGAAAUGAGGGAGUUAGGACUAGCUGUGGAUAGCUAAACUGGUGGUGCAAGGUGGUACAUUUUGUCAUGCACAUGCUUGGAAGUGGUGCUUCUUAGGCAACCAAAAUAUGUUUCACUUUAUGCCGGGUAAGCAUUAGUGGUCCAUAGGAUUAAAAACAGAUAAGACAAAGAGUUAAGAUCACACAAAGGAGAAUCCUACAUAUUCUAAAAUGCUUAGUUUGCUGUUUGUUUAAAAUUCUAUACCCUGUCUCUUGCUAAGAAAUUGUGAUUAUAAGCACCCCCUUGAGAGUGACAUCAGAGCCUCUGAGAGAUAAAGUGUGUCCUUGGCCACUUCCUUUUGAAGAUAUACAUAUCUUCACCAGUUACAUACUCAUACAUGUAAUUAUGUGUAUUCAACAAAAGCUAUUCUGUACAUUCAAUAUAUUUUAUAAAUUCGUUCAAUAAAUUAACAUAGUUAAAUUAUAAACACAAACAAGUUAGCAGAACAUACCUCACUUGAAACUCAUUUGAAGAUAAUGCUAGACAUCUUAGUUUAUGGCCUUCGUGAAUGUGCCGUCAGUCCAGUUGACCCUCCUGGCCCCACCUGGAUGGAUCUGAAUGCCCAUGUUUCUGCAAUGGGCUUAGCAAUGAGUAACUGCUGACAGGGCCUGAUUCCAUCGAGCCCUCCCAGUAAUGAAUGUGUUUUUAGACAAUGUGGAGCAUUCUUUUCCUUUUUCAAACUUUUCUGGCCAUAGGUCACCAGCUCACCAGUUACUGCUGCAUUUUCAUUCUAAACCUUAUUGCUAUCAACUUUCCUAUCCAGUCUACAAUAGUCACUGAGCACCUGGCAUAAUUCCAGUCUUUCCUAGAGUCUGAGGCUACAUGGUAAGAAAAACUAGACCUGAAGCCUCUUGAAAUAUGCAGUAUAACAAGGACAAUGAAUAUGAAAUGGUAAAUAAUUAUGAUCAACUAAGUAAAUAAUAUAAAUGUGCAAAAUUUAGUGAAUGAGAAAAAUGAGAGUGUGUAUCUGGUGAAUCUAAACAGAUAAACAAUUAUAAUUAUUUUAUUGCUCUCUCCCUUUUUUAUUGAAUUCAAAUGUCUCACAUUAUAGUUGAAAGUCUUCACAGUAUUUGUACUACAUGUGCACAUUGAAUUCUUCUUCAUUUGUAAGGACAGAAUUCUAUUACUAGUUGCAUGAAAUAGUGACUAUUUGUGUUAAGUGGCAAGGUGUCCAUCACAUAGCCUCUAAAGGCAGGGUCGGAAGAAAUCUCUGACUGAUCAUUAGUACUAUGCUCUUGCUGUUGCAGUCUUUGGUGUUACUGUCAUUCACUUCCUGGGCUUAAUCUUUUAAGGGUAUGAUAUCUACAGACAAAGCUAGCCAGCUUAUCUUUGAUAACUUCAAGAAGUACAGCAUGUCGGCUUUUGGAUUAAUAUUUGAAAAUAAAAUAAAAAUUUAAUUUUAUUAUCACUUGUUUUGUCAAAAAUCAAAGGCUCUUUUAAAAUCUUUUUUGGCUGGAUGUAAAAUGAUUUUUUUCUGUUUCUGGAUAUAAGGUAAC